GCCAGGCGUUGUGGUGGGCGCCUGUAGUCACAGCUACUUGGGAGGCUGAGGCAGGAGACUCGCUUGAGCCCAGGAGUUGGAGGUUGCUGUGAGCGUGAUGCCAUGGCACUCUACCCAGGGGGAUAGCUUGAGGCUCUGUCUCAAAACAAAACAAAACAAAAAAAGACAGAGUCUCAAGCUGUUGCCCUGGGUAGAGUGUUGGUGUCACAGUUCACAGCAACCUCAAACUCUUGGUUGUAAGUGAUUCUCCUGC
rnacentral:sRNA from 1 species